AAACUUACCAGGUCCAGACAUAGGAAGGAUUGACAGUGUAAAGUGCUUUCUUGAAACUAUCGGUGGUGGUGCAUGGCCGUUGUAAGUUUGUGGAGUGAUUCGUAAUGUUAAUUCUAUCAACAAACGAGACCUUAACCUACUAAUUAGCUAUGCUUAUCCUCAGGAUAGGUGUUAGCUUCCUAGAGGGACUUCAUGUGAAAGUAUGAGGAAGUUUGAGGCAAUAAC
rnacentral:rRNA from 1 species